rnacentral:lncRNA from 10 species
AAAGCUGUAGGUGAUUUGACAAAAUCAUCUGCAAAACCAGAUUUCUAACACCUCCCUGCUGUGUAUCUCAUUUCUGCUGAUGUGUGGUGCUUCAUAAGAUGGGGACGUUAAGCAUGCAGCAACUACAGUCAUUUGUUCUCAGAGGUCUGGACCAAAGAGAAACAAGAAAAGCUGGAGUCACACUACCAAAGGCCGAAGCUGAGCAACAGAGCUCUGGAGUCAGCUGCCUGGGUUCAGCAUGCAGCGCUGCCGUGGACGAUCUGUCUCUCUUGCAUAUAUGACUUACCAGUUUUACUUUCAGUCUCUCCAUUUCUAAUUAAAUGAGAUGCAGAAAUGCUGGUGCCUUGCUAUGAUGUUUGCAGUUAUUAUUUCUAGGAAAAAAAAUAUUAUUGUUACUCAGUAUCUGGUACAUCAAAACUAAGCCAGAAACGUUUAAAAAGAACAAAAGUAUCAUUUCUACUUAAUUCUCUAGCUACUUGGACAACUGGACUAUGCCCCUCCUUUCAAGGGAGGGCAAAGCAUUUCAGAAAAGAACUAAGUGCUAUUUCUCUGCUUCAGGAAUGUCUCCCGUAUGUAAAAGAAUGUGGCUUCAGGGAGUAGCAUGUGUUGUAAAGGUGGAUGGGUCUAACUUCAUGGACAGCUCUGACAUCCACUAGCUAUGCCACCUGAUGCAAACCACUUGGGCUGUCUGUAGUUUCGUUUAUCUUUCUGGAAUUGGUAAUAACAACCACCUGGCAAGAUCACUGUUAUGAAUACGGAGGAUCAAAGUUGUGAAGUUAUUUUGUAAAGUGAAAUGUUCUGAAAAUUGGAUUUUAACAGUGUCAGCGAAAAGUAGAUUUUUGACAUUUAUCAAGAGUUCAGCUAAUGAAAACAAGUAUGGAUAAUAGUUACAUAGAACUGUCUACUUUACUCAGUACUUUAGCAUAUGCUAUUAUAUUUAAUCUUCUUAAAAAGUAGAAAAUUAUACAAGCCAUGUAUUACUAUUAUUGUGGUGGUUGUCGUUCUCAAUUACACACUGAAUAUUAAGACCUCUCAGGUAGCAGCUGGAAGGACAUUGUAUCCAGUUUCCUGAUUGUUUUCAAUGGAAUAAUCAUGUAUACAUGCACUACUAAUGAGACAAUGGUGAUUCUAAAAGCUUAAUCAGGGGGACUUUUGUGUAUUCCAAAUCUACUAAAAAUAAAGAAACACAGAAAUGAGAAAAAUG